rfam:Bacillus sp. FJAT-27916 Scaffold1, whole genome shotgun sequence.
AGGUGAUGCCGCCUGACCUUUAUCAAUGACGGCACUCGGCCAUGCUGUGGGAAGGAUUACCUUCCUUAGAUGCAUGUCGUCAAUAGGAUGGUGUGAGGAAGGGUUAGAUGCCCU